AGUCACUGACAUUAGAUACCCGCGUAGUCCAGGGUGUAAACGCUGCAGACUUGGUGUUGGGAACCCUUCGGGGGUGCUCAGUGCCGGAGAGAAGUUGUUAAGUCUGCUACUUGGGAGUACGUCCGCAAGGAUGAAACUUAAAGGAAUUGGCGGGGGAGCACCGCAACGGGAGGAGCGUGCGGUUUAAUUGGAUUCAACGCCGAAAAACUCACCAGCAGCGACUGUUACAUGAAAGUCAGGUUGAUGACCUUACUAGAUUUUCAG
rnacentral:rRNA from 1 species